GACGAACGCUGGCGGCGUGCUUAACACAUGCAAGUCGAACGGUGAAAGCGGAGCUUGCUCCGCUGGAUCGGUGGCGAACGGGUGAGUAACACGUGGGCAACCUGCCCCUGACUUCGGGAUAACUCCUCGAAAGAGGUGCUAAUACCGGAUACGAAUCCUGCAGGCAUCUGCGGGAUUGGAAAGUUUUUCGGUCAGGGAGGGGCCCGCGGCCUAUGAGCUUGUUGGUGAGGUAGUGGCUCACCAAGGCGACGACGGGUAGCCGGCCUGAGAGGGCGACCGGCGACACUGGGACUGAGACACGGCCCAGACUCCUACGGGAGACAGCAGUGGGGAAUAUUGCGCAAUGGGCGAAAGCCUGACGCAGCAACGCCGCGUGAGGGAUGACGGCCUUCGGGUUGUAAACCUCUUUCAGCAGGGAAGAAGCGAAAGUGACGGUACCUGCAGAAGAAGCACCGGCUAACUACGUGCCAGCCGCCGCGGUAA
rnacentral:rRNA from 1 species